UGACUGUUUUGGUGUAUGGUAGAGUCAU
rnacentral:sRNA from 1 species